UUCUGCCCAUGAAUAAUUAAAUGGCUGCAGUAUUCUGACUGUGCAAAGGUAGCCUAAUAAUUAGUCUUUUAAUUGAAGGCUUGUAUGAAUGAAAUUAUGAAAUGUUUGUUUUAUUUAAAUUAACUUUAAAAUUUAAUUUUUAUGUAAAAAAGCUUAAUUUUUUUUUUGGGACGAUAAGACCCUAUAGAACUUUAUUUCUGACCUUAAUCAAUUUAUUUUAGGUAUUUAAAUUUUUGUUUAAUGUUUGUUUUUUUGUUGGGGUGACAGAUAAAUUUAAACUUUAUUUAUAAUAUUCAUUUUAUUUAUGUUUUUUUGAUCCAAUUUUUGAUUAUAAGAUUAAGUUACCUUAGGGAUAACAGCGUAAUUUUAAUGGGGAGUUCAUAUUUAUAUUAAAGUUUGCGACCUCGAUGUUGAAUUAAGAUAAGAUUUUGGGGCAG
rnacentral:rRNA from 1 species